UGGGGAAUAUUGGACAAUGGGCGAAAGCCUGAUCCAGCCAUGCCGCGUGGGUGAAGAAGGCCUUCGGGUUGUAAAGCCCUUUUGUUGGGGAAGAAAUCCUGCUGGCUAAUACCCGGCGGGGAUGACGGUACCCAAAGAAUAAGCACCGGCUAACUUCGUGCCAGCAGCCGCGGUAAUACGAAGGGUGCAAGCGUUGUCCGGAAUUAUUGGGCGUAAAGAGCUCGUAGGCGGCCGGUCGCGUCUGCCGUGAAAGCCCACGGCUCAACCGUGGGACUGCGGUGGAUACGGGCCGGCUAGAGGCAGGCAGGGGCAAGUGGAAUUCCUGGUGUAGCGGUGAAAUGCGCAGAUAUCAGGAGGAACACCGGUGGCGAAGGCGGCUUGCUGGGCCUGUCCUGACGCUGAGGAGCGAAAGCGUGGGGAGCGAACAGGAUUAGAUACCC
rnacentral:rRNA from 1 species